rnacentral:rRNA from 1 species
UGGGGAAUCUUGCACAAUGGAGGAAACUCUGAUGCAGCGACGCCGCGUGAGCGAUGAAGCCCUUCGGGGUGUAAAGCUCUUUCGACGGGAACGAUAAUGACGGUACCCGGAGAAGAAGCUGCGGCUAACUACGUGCCAGCAGCCGCGGUAAUACGUAGGCAGCAAACGUUGUUCGGAAUUACUGGGCGUAAAGAGUGUGUAGGCGGUUUUGCAAGUUUGGUGUGAAAUCUCCCGGCUUAACUGGGAGGGUGCGCCGAAAACUGCAAGGCUCGAGUACUGGAGAGGAAAGCGGAAUUCCUGGUGUAGCGGUGAAAUGCGUAGAUAUCAGGAGGAACACCGGUGGUGUAGACGGCUUUCUGGACAGUCACUGACGCUGAGACACGAAAGCGUGGGUAGCAAACA